GGUAGUCCACGCCGUAAACGAUGUCGACUUGGAGGUUGUGCCCUUGAGGCGUGGCUUCCGGAGCUAACGCGUUAAGUCGACCGCCUGGGGAGUACGGCCGCAAGGUUAAAACUCAAAUGAAUUGACGGGGGCCCGCACAAGCGGUGGAGCAUGUGGUUUAAUUCGAUGCAACGCGAAGAACCUUAUCUACUCUUGACAUCCAGAGAACUUAGCAGAGAUGCUUUGGUGCCUUCGGGAACUCUGAGACAGGUGCUGCAUGGCUGUCGUCAGCUCGUGUUGUGAAAUGUUGGGUUAAGUCCCGCAACGAGCGCAACCCUUAUCCUUUGUUGCCAGCGGUUAGGCCGGGAACUCAAAGGAGACUGCCAGUGAUAAACUGGAGGAAGGUGGGGAUGACGUCAAGUCAUCAUGGCCCUUACGAGUAGGGCUACACACGUGCUACAAUGGCGCAUACAAAGAGAAGCGACCUCGCGAGAGCAAGCGGACCUCAUAAAGUGCGUCGUAGUCCGGAUUGGAGUCUGCAACUCGACUCCAUGAAGUCGGAAUCGCUAGUAAUCGUAGAUCAGAAUGCUACGGUGAAUACGUUCCCGGGCCUUGUACACACCGCCCGUCACACCAUGGGAGUGGGUUGCAAAAGAAGUAGGUAGCUUAACCUUCGGGAGGGCGCUUACCACUUUGUGAUUCAUGACUGGGGUGAAGUCGUAACAAGGUAACCGUAGGGGAACCUGC
rnacentral:rRNA from 1 species